UACGUAGGGAGCAAGCGUUGUCCGGAAUCAUUGGGCGUAAAGCGCGCGUAGGUGGCCCUGUAAGUCCGUUGUGAAAGUCAAAGGCUCAACCUUUGAAAGCCGAUGGAUACUGCGAAGCUAGAGUACGGAAGAGGCGAGUGGAAUUCCUGGUGUAGCGGUGGAAUGCGCAGAUAUCAGGAGGAACACCAAUAGCGAAGGCAGCUCGCUGGGACGUUACUGACACUGAGGCGCGAAAGCGUGGGGAGCGAACAGG
rnacentral:rRNA from 1 species